rnacentral:tRNA from 1 species
GGUGCUAUAGUGUAGUGGUUAUCACUCGGGAUUUUGACGGCUCGCUUUCCCGAAACCCAGGUUCGAACCCUGGUAGCACCU